UCAAUACACUCAACAACAUUUUUUCUUAAAACCCGUGCCACUCCCUCCUAGGAAGUUCUUUCAUAGACGGAGGGAGUAGUAUUUAUAAUAAUAAUUAAUUGUAUUGCGAGUGGAGAAUAGAGCCCGUCAUGGCAUCAUGUGAUAGAUAGUUUUCAAAAAUGGAAAGGGUCUAAUUUUUGUGGACAUCCCAAAAUGGUAAAAAUUGACUAUUUUUUGUGGACGGAGGAAGUAAUAAAACUUCUAAAUAUAAAUGAUGA
rnacentral:lncRNA from 1 species